AGCUAGACGAUUGAUAUAUUAAUCACAUAUAAUAAAUUAUAAAUUAACCACAUUUAUCUCAAAAGUUUAAUAAAUACUAAAUUAUUUUCAUACUUGUUAUUAGUAUACAUUUAGGUUAUACAAACGUCUCCAAACCUGAGGAAAUUUUAAGAUAAAUAAUAACUAGUUUGUUAUGUGGUAUUUAUACAUUUAGGGUAAUCAUUCAUUCUCUUGGAUUUCCCAAUCUUACUCGUACAAGAAAGCGCAACGCAAUCAAUGUUGAAAGUACAAGAUUCAAGAAUCAAGCUAGGAUGAACUCUAGAAACCCAAAUAACAUUUGAAUUAUUGUUGAACAAUAUGUUGUGUUGUUUGGAACUAUGUAUUUCACUUUAAAGUUUAUGAAAUGAAUUAAAUAAAUUAUUGUCA